AUGAAGUGAGGUAUCUAAGAUAUAUCACGUAAAUAAUGUGAGACUAAGGAGUUUUCUCAACUAACACACAAUGUGGGACUUAAGGAACAUUUUCAAAUUCAUCUCCCUAUAUUGAAAUAUUGACAUAAUGUUCCAACAACCCAUGUAUCAAGUACUUAGGAGCAUGGAUCCUCACCUGCUGAAUGGCUUCUGUCAUCCAUGUUGCCCUUGAAUCAAUGGCUAAUUUUUUUUGAAAUUAAAUAAUAAAA
rnacentral:lncRNA from 1 species